rnacentral:rRNA from 1 species
UAAAUAAGCGGAGGAAAAGAAACUAACAAGGAUUGACGUAGUAAGGGCGACUGAACUGUCAAGAGCUCACCGUGUGAAUCAGCGUGCGCAAGUGCGUUGAAUUGUGGUUUGGAGGUGUAUGCACUAUUGCGCAGGGCAAAGUCCCUUGGAAGAGGGCAGCAUAGAGGGUGAUACUCCCGUUUGCCUUGUGCUUGAGCGUAUACCAAUGAGUCGAGUUGUUUGGGAUUGCAGCUCAAAGCCGGUGGUAAAUUCCAUCGAAAGCUAAAUAUUGGUGGGAGACCGAUAGCGCACAAGUACCGUGAGGGAAAGAUGCAAAGAACUUUGAAAAGAGAGUUAAAGAGUGCCUGAAAUUGCUGAGAAGGAAGCGAAGGAAAGUAGUGAGUAGCUGCGCCAUACUUCCUGACCUGCUUGCUGGUUGGGCGCUGUGGUCAGCGAGGUUCAACUUGGUUCGGUUGAUGGAAGUUGCAGCAGCAACAGAAUGUUGCAGCUGCUUGACGUUGGCUGGACUGGGAGGAACGAAAUGGUUUUCUUUGCC